rnacentral:rRNA from 1 species
CAGAGGGGGCAAGCGUUGUCCGGAUUGACUGGGCGUAAAGCGUCCGCAGGUGGCGUGGCACGUACGGUGUGAAAUCAGGCGGCUCAACCGCCUGCGGUCAUCGUAGACUGCCAUGCUAGAGGACUGGAGAGGUCGGUGGAAUUGCCGGUGUAGUGGUGAUAUGCGUAGAUAUCGGCAGGAACACCCAAGGGGAAGCCAGCCGACUGGCCAGUGCCUGACACUCAGGGACGACAGCGUGGGGAGCGAACUGGAUUAGAUACCCAGGUAGUCCACGCCGUAAACGAUGGACGCUCGAUCUCUGGUGGGUAACCAGUCCCGCUGGGGGUCUCAGCUAACGCGCAAGCGUCCCGCCUGGGAACUACGAGCGCAAGCUUA